rnacentral:rRNA from 1 species
AAUUAAGGGGAAAAGAGGGGCGGAAGGUGGGGUGGUGGUUUUUUUUAAAUUUUGGGGUCUAUCUCAGAUUGAACGCUGGCGGCAGGCCUAACACAUGCAAGUCGAGCGGAUGAAGGGAGCUUGCUCCUGGAUUCAGCGGCGGACGGGUGAGUAAUGCCUAGGAAUCUGCCUGGUAGUGGGGGAUAACGUCCGGAAACGGGCGCUAAUACCGCAUACGUCCUGAGGGAGAAAGUGGGGGAUCUUCGGACCUCACGCUAUCAGAUGAGCCUAGGUCGGAUUAGCUAGUUGGUGGGGUAAAGGCCUACCAAGGCGACGAUCCGUAACUGGUCUGAGAGGAUGAUCAGUCACACUGGAACUGAGACACGGUCCAGACUCCUACGGGAGGCAGCAGUGGGGAAUAUUGGACAAUGGGCGAAAGCCUGAUCCAGCCAUGCCGCGUGUGUGAAGAAGGUCUUCGGAUUGUAAAGCACUUUAAGUUGGGAGGAAGGGCAGUAAGUUAAUACCUUGCUGUUUUGACGUUACCAACAGAAUAAGCACCGGCUAACUUCGUGCCAGCAGCCGCGGUAAUACGAAGGGUGCAAGCGUUAAUCGGAAUUACUGGGCGUAAAGCGCGCGUAGGUGGUUCAGCAAGUUGGAUGUGAAAUCCCCGGGCUCAACCUGGGAACUGCAUCCAAAACUACUGAGCUAGAGUACGGUAGAGGGUGGUGGAAUUUCCUGUGUAGCGGUGAAAUGCGUAGAUAUAGGAAGGAACACCAGUGGCGAAGGCGACCACCUGGACUGAUACUGACACUGAGGUGCGAAAGCGUGGGGAGCAAACAGGAUUAGAUACCCUGGUAGUCCACGCCGUAAACGAUGUCGACUAGCCGUUGGGAUCCUUGAGAUCUUAGUGGCGCAGCUAACGCGAUAAGUCGACCGCCUGGAGACGCCGACUUGG